rnacentral:rRNA from 1 species
GAUGAACGCUAGCGACAGGCUUAACACAUGCAAGUCGAGGGGCAGCAUGAACUUAGCUUGCUAAGUUUGAUGGCGACCGGCGCACGGGUGAGUAACGCGUAUCCAACCUGCCUUACACUCUUGGACAGCCUUCUGAAAGGGAGAUUAAUACAAGAUGUUAUCAUGAGUAAGCAUUUUCGCAUGAUUAAAGGUUUACCGGUGUAAGAUGGGGAUGCGUUCCAUUAGAUAGUUGGUGAGGUAACGGCUCACCAAGUCCACGAUGGAUAGGGGUUCUGAGAGGAAGGUCCCCCACACUGGUACUGAGACACGGACCAG